UUUGAUCCUGGCUCAGGACGAACGCUGGCGGCGUGCUUAACACAUGCAAGUCGAACGGAGCACCCUUGAAGGAGUUUUCGGACAACGGAUAGGAAUGCUUAGUGGCGGACUGGUGAGUAACGCGUGAGGAACCUGCCUUCCAGAGGGGGACAACAGUUGGAAACGACUGCUAAUACCGCAUGACGCAUUGGUGUCGCAUGGCACUGAUGUCAAAGAUUUAUCGCUGGAAGAUGGCCUCGCGUCUGAUUAGCUAGUUGGUGAGGUAACGGCCCACCAAGGCGACGAUCAGUAGCCGGACUGAGAGGUUGGCCGGCCACAUUGGGACUGAGAUACGGCCCAGACUCCUACGGGAGGCAGCAGUGGGGAAUAUUGGGCAAUGGACGCAAGUCUGACCCAGCAACGCCGCGUGAAGGAAGAAGGCUUUCGGGUUGUAAACUUCUUUUAAGGGGGAAGAGCAGAAGACGGUACCCCUUGAAUAAGCCACGGCUAACUACGUGCCAGCAGCCGCGGUAAUACGUAGGUGGCAAGCGUUAUCCGGAUUUACUGGGUGUAAAGGGAGCGUAGGCGGCGCGUUAAGUCUGAUGUGAAAACCCGAGGCUCAACCACGGGAGUGCAUUGGAAACUGGCGGGCUGGAGUGCCGGAGAGGUAAGCGGAAUUCCUAGUGUAGCGGUGAAAUGCGUAGAUAUUAGGAGGAACACCAGUGGCGAAGGCGGCCUGCUGGACGACAACUGACGGUGAGGCGCGAAAGCGUGGGGAGCAAACAGGAUUAGAUACCCUGGUAGUCCACGCUGUAAACGAUGGAUACUAGGUGUGGGGGGACUGACCCCCUCCGUGCCGCAGCUAACGCAAUAAGUAUCCCACCUGGGGAGUACGAUCGCAAGGUUGAAACUCAAAGGAAUUGACGGGGGCCCGCACAAGCGGUGGAGUAUGUGGUUUAAUUCGAAGCAACGCGAAGAACCUUACCAGGGCUUGACAUCCUACUAACGAGGUAGAGAUACGUUAGGUGCCCUUCGGGGAAAGUAGAGACAGGUGGUGCAUGGUUGUCGUCAGCUCGUGUCGUGAGAUGUUGGGUUAAGUCCCGCAACGAGCGCAACCCUUACCUUCAGUAGCCAGCGAGUAAAGUCGGGCACUCUGGAGGGACUGCCAGGGAUAACCUGGAGGAAGGUGGGGAUGACGUCAAAUCAUCAUGCCCCUUAUGAUUUGGGCUACACACGUGCUACAAUGGCGUAAACAAAGGGAAGCGAAGCCGUGAGGUGAAGCAAAUCCCAAAAAUAACGUCUCAGUUCGGAUUGUAGUCUGCAACUCGACUACAUGAAGCUGGAAUCGCUAGUAAUCGCGAAUCAGAAUGUCGCGGUGAAUACGUUCCCGGGUCUUGCACACACCGCCCGUCA
rnacentral:rRNA from 1 species